UACGUAGGGGGCAAGCGUUGUCCGGAAUUAUUGGGCGUAAAGAGCGUGUAGGCGGUCCGGUAAGUCAGCUGUGAAAGUCAAGGGCUCAACCCUUGAAUGCCGGUUGAUACUGUCGGGCUAGAGUCCGGAAGAGGCGAGUGGAAUUCCCGGUGUAGCGGUGAAAUGCGCAGAUAUCAGGAAGAACACCCGUGGCGAAAGCGGCUCUCUGGAACGGUACUGACGCUGAGACGCGAAAGCGUGGGGAGCGAACAGG
rnacentral:rRNA from 1 species